GACGAACGCUGGCGGCGUGCUUAACACAUGCAAGUCGAGCGGAGCGGCGAACGGGUGAGUAACGCGUGAGUAACUGCCCCCCUCUCUGGGAUAACAGUUGGAAACUGCUGCUAAUACCGGAUAGUGGGGGAUGACUCGCGUCCUAUCAGCUUGUUGGUGGGGUAGGUGCCUACCAAGGCGACGACGGGUAGCCAGCCUGAGAGGGCGACCGGCCACAUGGGGCUGAGGUACGGCCCAAACUCCUACGGGAGGCAGCGGUGGGGAAUAUUGCGCAAUGGGGGAAACCCUGAUGCAGCAACGCCGCGUGCGGGAUGACGGCCUUCGGGUUGUAAACCGCUUUCAGCCAUGACGCGUUACCAACAGAAUAAGCACCGGCUAACUUCGUGCCAGCAGCCGCGGUAAUAC
rnacentral:rRNA from 1 species